rnacentral:rRNA from 1 species
GACGGGGGAGGCAAGCAUUGUCCGGAAUUAUUGGGCGUAAAGAACACGUAGGCGGUUUUUAAAGUCAAUUGUGAAAACCUUGGGCUCAACCCGAGGAUUGCAGUUGAUACUGGAAAACUAGAGUACAGUAGAGGAAGGUGGAAUUCCUGGUGUAGCGGUGAAAUGCGCAGAUAUCAGGAAGAACACCAGUGGCGAAAGCGGCUUUCUGGACUGUUACUGACGCUGAGGUGUGAAAGCUAGGGGAGCGAACAGG